UACGCUCCGCACAGAAUCUCGAUUCUGAACAUGAGGCCCGUCACAGGGAUGACGUAACACCAGCGGCUACAGGACUUAGUCGAUAGCCGCACCCGGUGU
rnacentral:sRNA from 1 species